GUUGGGUAUGAUGGCGCAUGCCUAUAAUCCCAGCCUUUUAGGAGGCUGAGGCAGGAGGAUCGUGAGUUCAAAGCCAGCCUCAGCAACUAGUAAGGCCCUAAACAACUCAGUGAGACCCUGUCUCUA
rnacentral:sRNA from 1 species